rnacentral:misc_RNA from 1 species
CGCACAUUGCGCCCUCUGGUAUUCCGGGGGGCAUGCCUGUUCGAGCGUCAUCAAAACUUCUCAGGUUUCGGUUCUUUACCGACUCCUGGUCAUGGAAUCGGAGGUGCCACGCGCCUCCUCUCCGAAAUCCAGUGGCGAAUCGAGGAUGCUGCGGACGUAGUAAAGAAUACCCGUCAAGCACGCGUCCGGAAUUCCGCCAUAACCCCCAUCAAUAUUCCAGUUUGACCUCGGAUCAGGUAGGGAUACCCGCUGAACUUAA